CAGUCGCCGCGGGAAUACGAAGGGUGCAAGCGUUAAUCGGAAUUACUGGGCGUAAAGCGUGCGUAGGCGGUGAGUUAAGUCUGCUGUGAAAUCCCCGGGCUCAACCUGGGAAUGGCAGUGGAUACUGGCUCGCUAGAGUGUGUCAGAGGAUGGUGGAAUUCCCGGUGUAGCGGUGAAAUGCGAAGAGAUCGGGAGGAACAUCAGUGGCGAAGGCGGCCAUCUGGGACAACACUGACGCUGAGGCACGAAAGCGUGGGGAGCAAACAGGAUUAGAUACCCCGGUAGUCCCUGUCUCUUAUAC
rnacentral:rRNA from 1 species